CCUACGGGAGACAGCAGUGGGGGAUAUUGCACAAUGGGGGGAACCCUGAUGCAGCGACGCCGCGUGGGUGAAGAAGCGCCUCGGCGCGUAAAGCCCUGUCAGCAGGGAAGAAAAUGACGGUACCUGAAGAAGAAGCCCCGGCUAACUACGUGCCAGCAGCCGCGGUAAUACGUAGGGGGCAAGCGUUAUCCGGAUUUACUGGGUGGAAAGGGGGCGCAGACGGCGAUGCAAGCCAGGAGUGAAAGCCCGGGGCCCAACCCCGGGACUGCUCUUGGAACUGCGUGGCUGGAGUGCAGGAGGGGCAGGCGGAAUUCCUGGUGUAGCGGGGAAAUGCGUAGAUAUCAGGAGGAACACCGGUGGCGAGGGCGGCCUGCUGGACUGCAACUGACGUUGAGGCCCGAAAGCGUGGGGAGCAAACAGGAUUAGAUACCCUUGUAGUC
rnacentral:rRNA from 1 species